AGCCUUUGGUGUCUUUCACUCACAGCAGAAAGAAAUAGGUCAUAAAUUACAGCACUGAUUUGUUCCAAUGAUAUCAUUAGCUCCUGGAAAACAAGGAUCAUGAAAAACCCAUUUCAAAUGAACAUAUGAGUCAAUACCAACCAAGCAUCUUUUGGAAAAGAGCCCUUAUAAAUUCAUACUAGAAUUCUGACUCCUAAGUGAAUAUCUCUGGAUCUUCAGAACAUAGAAGACUUAGCUCCAGCCCAUGCAUCAGUCCCUUCAGACCAUAGAGUCAUAACCAGGCCUAUUGAAAGAGCUGGUUACAUGAGACAGUCAGAGAUUUACCUAGGUGAGAAAAUAAAGAUUAGAUGGUUUGAAGCAGAGUUCUAGCCCUUCCAAAUCAGACCUCCAACCCCUUUCUUAAUUCUAUAGUUUGUAGUUUUCAAAGGAGAAGUUGUAAUAAAGAGUAAGUAAACUAA
rnacentral:lncRNA from 1 species